rnacentral:rRNA from 1 species
UACAGAGGUCCCGAGGCGUUGUUCGGAGUUACUGGGCGUAAAGGGGUGUGUAGGCGGUUGUUUAAGUUUGGAUGGUGAAAUCCGUCCCGGCUCAACUGGGAGGUGCGCCGAAUACUGAAUGACGUUGGGAGUGCGGGAGAGGAGAGGUGGAAAUUCCUGGUGUAGCGGUGAAAUGCGCAGAUAUCAGGAGGAACACCGGUGGCGAAGGCGGGUCUCUGGGCCGAUACUGACACUGGAGGAGCGAAAGCAUGGGGAGCGAACAGG